ACCUGGGUGGCUCAGCUGGUUGAGCAUCUGAUUUUGGCUCAGAUUGUGAUCCCAGGGUU
rnacentral:tRNA from 1 species